rnacentral:lncRNA from 1 species
AGUCUACGAAUCUGAACGAAGCUGAAUUGCAAUCAACUUUUUGAUCCUUUUCUUAAUCUUCUUCUUCUCUUUCUUUUCUUUUCUUGAUUAUGAAUCAAUCAAGGUAUAGAAACCAACAAGCAAAGGAGCACCCAAAUACCUUUUGGGCAUGGAGAAGUGGGAUGCCCAAACUCCUUGGGCAUUGGAUCUUCAAGGGAGAAG